AUUGAACGCCGGCGGCAUGCCUUACACAUGCAAGUCGAACGGCAGCACGGGUGCUUGCACCUGGUGGCGAGUGGCGAACGGGUGAGUAAUACAUCGGAACGUACCUUAUCGUGGGGGAUAACGCAGCGAAAGCUGUGCUAAUACCGCAUACGCCCUGAGGGGGAAAGCGGGGGAUCGAAAGACCUCGCGCGAUUAGAGCGGCCGAUGCCUGAUUAGCUUGUUGGUGGGGUAAAAGCCCACCAAGGCGACGAUCAGUAGCUGGUCUGAGAGGACGAUCAGCCACACUGGGACUGCGACACGGCCAAGACUCCUACGGGGGGCAGAAGUGGGGAAUUUUGGACAAUGGGGGCAACCCUGAUCCAGCAAUGCCGCGUGAGUGAAGAAGGCCUUCGGGUUGUAAAGCUCUUUUGUCAGGGAAGAAACACCGGCUCUAACACAGUCCGGGAAUGACGGUACCUGAAGAAUAAGCACCGGCUAACUACGUGCCAGCCGCCGCCGUAA
rnacentral:rRNA from 1 species